UGGGGAAUAUUGGGCAAUGGGCGCAAGCCUGACCCAGCAAUGCCGCGUGGGUGAAGAAGGCCCUCGGGUCGUAAAGCCCUUCCGGCGGGGACGAUGAUGACGGUACCCGCAGAAGAAGCCCCGGCUAACUUCGUGCCAGCAGCCGCGGUAAUACGAAGGGGGCUAGCGUUGCUCGGAUUUACUGGGCGUAAAGGGCGCGUAGGCGGCCCUGUUUGUCCGGCGUGAAAUCCCAGGGCUCAACCUUGGGGCUGCGCUGGAUACGGCGGGGCUUGAGGCGAGGAGAGGGUCGUGGAAUUCCCAGUGUAGAGGUGAAAUUCGUAGAUAUUGGGAAGAACACCGGUGGCGAAGGCGGCGACCUGGCCUUGAUCUGACGCUGAGGCGCGACAGCGUGGGGAGCAAA
rnacentral:rRNA from 1 species